UACGUAGGGUGCAAGCGUUGUCCGGAAUUAUUGGGCGUAAAGAGCUCGUAGGCGAUUUGUCGCGUCUGCUGUGAAAACUCAGGGCUUAACUCUGAGCUUGCAGUGGGUACGGGCAGACUAGAGUGCGGUAGGGGAGACUGGAAUUCCUGGUGUAGCGGUGAAAUGCGCAGAUAUCAGGAGGAACACCAGCGGCGAAGGCGGCGCUCUGGGCCGGUACUGACACUGAGGAGCGAAAGCGUGGGUAGCAAACAGG
rnacentral:rRNA from 1 species